rnacentral:rRNA from 1 species
AGAGUUUGAUCCUGGCUCAGGAUGAACGCUAGCUACAGGCUUAACACAUGCAAGUCGCGGGGCAGCAUGGGGGUUGCUUGCAAUCCCUGAUGGCGACCGGCGCACGGGUGAGUAACGCGUAUCCAACCUGCCCUUCACCACGGGAUAACCCGGCGAAAGUCGGACUAAUACCGUAUGUUGUCCAUUGACGGCAUCCGAUUUGGACGAAAGGCUUAGCGGUGAGGGAUGGGGAUGCGUCCGAUUAGCUCGACGGCGGGGUAACGGCCCACCGUGGCGACGAUCGGUAGGGGUUCUGAGAGGAAGGUCCCCCACACUGGAACUGAGACACGGUCCAGACUCCUACGGGAGGCAGCAGUGAGGAAUAUUGGUCAAUGGGCGGAAGCCUGAACCAGCCAAGUAGCGUGCAGGAUGACGGCCCUAUGGGUUGUAAACUGCUUUUAUGCGGGGAUAAAGGAGCCCACGUGUGGGCUUUUGCAGGUACCGCAUGAAUAAGGACCGGCUAAUUCCGUGCCAGCAGCCGCGGUAAUACGGAAGGUCCGGGCGUUAUCCGGAUUUAUUGGGUUUAAAGGGAGCGUAGGCCGCCCCUUAAGCGUGUUGUGAAAUGCGGGUGCUCAACAUCCGACUUGCAGCGCGAACUGGGGGGCUUGAGUGCGCCGAAAGUAGGCGGAAUUCGUGGUGUAGCGGUGAAAUGCUUAGAUAUCACGAAGAACUCCGAUUGCGAAGGCAGCUUACUGUAGCGCAACUGACGCUGAUGCUCGAAAGCGUGGGUAUCGAACAGGAUUAGAUACCCUGGUAGUCCACGCGGUAAACGAUGGAUGCUCGUUGUCGGCCUUUGUGGUCGGUGACCAAGCGAAAGCGUUAAGCAUCCCACCUGGGGAGUACGCCGGCAACGGUGAAACUCAAAGGAAUUGACGGGGGCCCG